rnacentral:rRNA from 1 species
GACGAACGCUGGCGGCGUGCCUAAUACAUGCAAGUUGGGCGCUGAAGGUUGGUACUUGUACCGACUGGAUGAGCAGCGAACGGGUGAGUAACGCGUGGGGAAUCUGCCUUUGAGCGGGGGACAACAUUUGGAAACGAAUGCUAAUACCGCAUAAAAACUUUAAACACAAGUUUUAAGUUUGAAAGAUGCAAUUGCAUCACUCAAAGAUGAUCCCGCGUUGUAUUAGCUAGUUGGUGAGGUAAAGGCUCACCAAGGCGAUGAUACAUAGCCGACCUGAGAGGGUGAUCGGCCACAUUGGGACUGAGACACGGCCCAAACUCCUACGGUAGGCAGCAGUAGGGAAUCUUCGGCAAUGGACGAAAGUCUGACCGAGCAACGCCGCGUGAGUGAAGAAGGUUUUCGGAUCGUAAAACUCUGUUGGUAGAGAAGAACGUUGGUGAGAGUGGAAAGCUCAUCAAGUGACGGUAACUACCCAGAAAGGGACGGCUAACUACGUG